rnacentral:pre_miRNA from 1 species
AGAGGCAUAACAUGAAGAUAAGAGUCUGUCUGAUAGCCAAGGAUGACUUGCUGGUUUGCAUUUCUCGUAUGCAAAUGCAGCCCUUGAGUAGGUUUCAGGCAGUCACCUUGGCUAAUUUCACAGGCUCUUAUUUUUCAUGCUAUACCUUC